UACGAAGGGGGCUAGCGUUGUUCGGAAUUACUGGGCGUAAAGCGCGCGCAGGCGGCUCUUCAAGUCAGGGGUGAAAGCCCAGAGCUCAACUCUGGAACUGCCUUUGAGACUGAAGAGCUUGAGUACGGGAGAGGUGAGUGGAAUUCCCAGUGUAGAGGUGAAAUUCGUAGAUAUUGGGAAGAACACCGGUGGCGAAGGCGGCUCACUGGCCCGUUACUGAC
rnacentral:rRNA from 1 species